UAUUCCCAAUAUUGGUUUUAGAAAUUAAAAAUGAUAAAAGCUAUACUAGUAUUUAACAAUCAUGGGAAGCCUCGGUUAUCCAAAUUUUAUCAAUAUUUUGAUGAGAACCUUCAGCAACAAAUCAUUAAAGAGACGUUCCAAUUAGUUUCAAAGCGUGACGAUAACGUUUGCAAUUUUCUGGAAGGCGGCAGCUUGAUAGGCGGCUCAGAUUACAAGCUAAUAUACCGCCAUUAUGCAACACUGUACUUUGUAUUUUGUGUUGACUCCUCGGAGAGUGAGCUUGGUAUACUUGAUUUGAUACAAGUAUUCGUGGAAACCUUGGAUAAGUGUUUCGAAAAUGUGUGUGAACUGGAUUUAAUAUUUCAUGCUGAUGCCGUUCAUCAUAUUCUAUCAGAGCUGGUUAUGGGCGGAAUGGUACUGCAAACUAACAUGAACGAUAUAAUAACCAGGAUUGAAGACCAAAAUAGGUUGAUUAAACAGGAAUCAGGAAUAUCUGCAGCACCAGCUCGUGCUGUAAGCGUUGUAAAAAGCAUGAACAUUCCACAACAAAUUAAGGACAUGAAACUGCCAGACUUACCACAGGCUAUAAAGGACCUAAAAUUUUGAUAUGAUUAAUAAACACAUAUGGUCCGAUCUCCGCUACAACUGUUGUUAUCAAAUAGCCUUGGAUAUAGUAGACUUAUGGAACAUAAAACGCCUUGAUGUCGAGCCAGUUGGGGUGCGAGUGUGAAUUGAUGCUACCAGCUACCAGACCAGCCCAAUCGACUUUUUGACGUCGUUUCCAUUAUUUAAGAAAUGAAACACAAUUUUCCAUUUCGUAGUCUUCGAUAAAUUUUGCAAAUUAAAUUUAAAAUACUAAUUCAGUCAUAACCGCUCUGUUUGAAGGUUUUGUUGUUCAUUGGCAAGUAUGAUCAAGCAAAGACAAUAUUAACAAUAAGAUGAUACAAAAUUAUCCAAAGUCAUAAGGCUUUUCGCUCUUCAAGCAUUACGCCAACUAACUGGCUUUUCGCCCACCAAAGCUAGUCGAUGGCGAUAUGUGUCGUUACGUUUUUGAAGUUCUUUGAACAAAAAGUUUUGAGUCGAACGAAGCU
rnacentral:misc_RNA from 1 species